rnacentral:other from 1 species
AGCUCCCUGCCCGGUACGACAGUCACCCUUUUUUAACCCACAAUUAGUUUACGGGACUCCGAUUGUUCUCUGUGCGAGUGCAGGCCUCCCGCUUCGGCGGAAGUUGGAAGCGCAGACCACAGCGACAGGAAACCCACCUGCAGGAGCUGUGCAGGUUACUAAUCUGGUGACAUCGGCCGUGCGGGGGUUCU